AGAAGGGCUUCCGGGGCGUGAUCGUUUCGGGGGCCUUUUUCUUUUGC
rnacentral:antisense_RNA from 2 species